AACGAACGCUGGCGGCAGGCCUAACACAUGCAAGUCGAGCGAGAACUUCGGUUCUAGCGGCGGACGGGUUAGUAACGCGUGGGAAUAUGCCCUUCACUACGGAAUAGUCCCGGGAAACUGGGUUUAAUACCGUAUACGCCCUUCGGGGGAAAGAUUUAUCGGUGAAGGAUUAGCCCGCGUUGGAUUAGGUAGUUGGUGGGGUAAUGGCCUACCAAGCCGACGAUCCAUAGCUGGUUUGAGAGGAUGAUCAGCAACACUGGGACUGAGACACGGCCCAGACUCCUACGGGAGGCAGCAGUGGGGAAUCUUAGACAAUGGGGGCAACCCUGAUCUAGCCAUGCCGCGUGAGUGAUGAAGGCCUUAGGGUUGUAAAGCACUUUCAGCGAGGAGGAAGGCGUUGUGGUUAAUAACCGCAGCGAUUGACGUUACUCGCAGAAGAAGCACCGGCUAACUCCGUGCCAGCAGCCGCCGUAAAAC
rnacentral:rRNA from 1 species